rnacentral:lncRNA from 1 species
AAGUAUAGUGUGUGUUUGAAUUUAUUACAAUCUCCUCUAAGAGAAUGAAAGCCGUGUGAGGAUAUGGAUGGAACUUAAGUAGCUCAUGGUUUAUUCUCGUUUCUAAGAACAGUGCCUAAUAUCUAGUAGGUGAUGAAAACAAAACAAAACGAAACCCUGAAUAAAUAGCUAAAUUCUGAUCAGACUUAAGAAUUAAAAAAUGCUAGUAUAAGAUCCAUUGAAAGAUGACUGGAGGUUUCCUUCAUGCAAACUAAUUUGUCUGAUGAUUUUACAUCUUUGGUGGUCUAGAUGAAUGACUCAAUUCUUAAAGCCUGGGGUCAAGACUAUUGCAUAUGGGCCUAUCUAUGGUCUCCUCCAUCAGUUUUUGGUUGGUGCUCAGUAAAUUUUGAUAAUUGAAAAAUCAAAAGCUCAAAUUAAUUGACCGAUCUUAGGCUUACACCACUAACUAGAUAUGACUCUAAAUUUUAUGUUGUUAUUGUCAGCGUCUGGAAAAAUGGAAGCCUACAAGAGAGGAGCAUGUGUGACAGGUAAGGGUUUUUGAUGCUCAGGGUGGAAUGGAAAUGAGUGAUUUUUGACAGAAAGGGAGAGAAAGCUCUUUCCCAUCUGACUUUAAGCCAAAUGUGAGAGCAAUAAAAAUGGACAAAUGGAAAGCUAAUAUUAUCUUUAUUAAACCAGAUUGCUUUAAACCCAGCAACAAGGGGUUUCCAAAUACCGAAACUCAGAAUUACCUAAUCUUUCCAUUCAUGCUCAGAGUGAUAAAAUAUAGACUCUCAAAUUGGGGCUCUGCCCUGCCAGAAGUUAGGCAAAAAAGCAUAUCAUAUGCUUUCUGCAAGCAACUGACUCUAUAACUAGUUUCUACUAAAAGACUUCCCAGUCGGAAUUCAGUUCUCCUCUUCAAAGAAGUGAGUGGAGCAAUGGAGAAAGGCUACGAGUUUUAUGCAAAUGAACGUCACUCCACAUGGAAAAACCGAGACAUGGAUACAAAGGUUUACCUAAAAAUAGUCUCCAAGUCAUGAAUGAUGGGAUGAUAUUCCUGCCCUAUAGAACUUAGAGAUAAAAAGAGAAGAAAUGUUCAAAUAUCAGUGAGAGGAAAGGAAGUCAGAGAUCACCUCUGGAACUGCUGCUGACUUUGUGAUCCGAACAUUGUCUUUUGAAAAAUUCUAUGUACCAAUUAUCUAUGUCACAAUAAUACUGCGGCAGUAACACCACAAAACAAACAACCACAAAAUUUCAGUGGUAAUCAGCAAUAAUUGUUCAUUCUGCACACAUCUGUAAUUAAGUGGGGGUCAGUUAAGGGGCUCUGCUAACCUUGGCCGUGCUUGCUCAGAUAACUGUGGCUCAGCUGGCUGUUUGGCUGAUGUAGUCUGGCUUCAGCUGGGGUGACCUGGGCAACCUGGCAUUUGUCAUGUGCCAUUAAAGUCCAGUGGGCUGACCCAGACUAACUUCUGACAAAGGCAAACCCUUAAGAAAGAGUAAAACUGAAACAUGCAAGACUUCAAUGACUAGGUUCAAAACAGAAACACCUUUGCUUCUGAAUCAUUUCAUGGACAAGAGCAAGGCACAUGGCCAAAUUCAGAAUGAAGAGGAGGGGAAAUACAGUCCUCCCCCUUUUCCAAAGGCAUUGCAUGGUCGCACAGCAAAGGGCAUGGAUGUCCUGAGGGGGAGAACUGGGGUGUGAAUACAAUCUACUACAAUGUAGGUUUGAGGCAGUGGCUGAAUUUCUAAAAUCUAAAUAUGGCAGUGUAUAUCAUCAUUAUCUGCUGGACAAUCACUGCUGUGUGAAUGCAACAUAAGAUACAUAGUUUAGAAAUAAGCUUUUUUAAUUAUUAAAAAAACCUUAUGGGAGUUCCUGUCGUGGCUCAGUGGUUAACGAACCCAACUAACACCUAUGAGGAUGUGAGUUCGAUCUCUGGCCUCACUCAGUGGGUUAAGGAUUCAGCAUUGCUGUGAGCUGUGGUGUAGGUCGCAGACGUGGGGCUCGGAUCUGGUGUUGCUGUGGCUGUGGUGUAGGCUGGCAGCUGCAGCUCCAAUUCGAUCCCUAGCCUGGGAACCUCCAUAUGCCACGGGUGUGGUCCUAAAAAGACAAACAAAAUAAAACCCUUAUGGUUACCAUAGGUGAAACCGUUGGGAGGAGGGAAGAAUUGGAGGGUGAGAAUAACAUAUACACUCUAUUGUACAAAACAGGUGAUUAACAAGAACCUACUAUAUAGCACUGGAAAAUUUAUUUUCCCAAAUAAAUUAUAUGGGAAAAAAGAAUGUAUAUAUUUAUAUGUAUGACUGAUUCACUUUGCUGUACGCUUGAAGUUACUACAACAUUGUAAAUCAACUAUACUCCCAUAAAAUUAAAUAUAAAAAAUAAGAAAGUAGUAAAAAUAUUGUUACCAUAGAGCCAUUCACUAUAAGAUGUUAAAACACCUCUUAAGCAAUCAAAGCCUCAAAAUUCCUGAUUAUUCCUAAUGGGAGGAAUCAGCUUAUGUAGAAGAAUAUAAAACCAAACCCCGUGAGUUAGGGAAGUACCUGCAGGUCCAAAAGAGGGGGUUGUAACCAAAAUACAGGAUACACAGGAGUAAGAAACAUUGUAUGGUCAGGUUGGCAUUCCCAGCAGAAGCUCAGCUCUAGGAAAGAGAAGUCUGGUCCAGAAGGUUGAGAUUCACAUAUGUGAAGCCAUGGAACCAGAAUAUCUAUGCCAAAGAGAAAGUGAAGAAUCCUAAACAGAAAGCAUUGGUAUCUUAGGUAUGGCCAGAUCUCAGCUCAAAUAUUAUUAAUCCCUUCACCUUCCAGGUGACCUGAUGAUUCCCAAAAAGUCUCAACACAAACUUUUUAUUUAGAGAUACAGAAGAAAGUGUGCUUGCCAAGAAUGUUAGCAUAAGAAGACUCAAUUUAUGUGUUAAAAUUAAAAAUGUACCAGAGUUCCCUUCGUGGCUCAGUGGUUAACGAACCCAACUAGGAACCAUGAGGAUGUGGGUUUGAUCCCUGGCCUCCCUUAGUGGGUUAAGGAUCCGGCAUUGCCAUGAGCUGUGGUGUAGGUCGCAGAUGCAGCUCGGAUCCCGCGUUGCUGUGGCUGUGGCUGUGACCAGCCCAGCAGCUGUAGCUCCGAUUUGACCCCUAGCCUGGGAACUUCCA